rnacentral:rRNA from 1 species
GGCAACAUGAGAGCCAAACUGUCUCUUAUAACAAAUCAAUUAAACUGAUCCCCUAGUACAAAAGCUAGGAUUAAACCAUAAGACCAGAAGACCCUGUGAAGCUUUAAUUAAACUAUUAACCCAUAUAAUAGCUAAUUUCGGUUGGGGCGACCUUGGAACAAAAAAGAACUUCCAAAUAUACGCAGCUUCCUGCACCAAAGGCCGACAAGCCACAAAUAGACCCAGUACAUCUGAUAAAUGAACCAAGUUACUCCAGGGAUAACAGCGCUAUCUUCUUCAAGAGCCCAUAUCAAAAAGAAGGUUUACGACCUCGAUGUUGGAUCAGGACAUCCUAGUGAUGCAACCGUUACUAAGGGUUCGUUUGUUCAACGAUUAAUAGUCCU